CCUACGGGAGGCAGCAGUGAGGAAUAUUGGUCAAUGGGCGAGAGCCUGAACCAGCCAAGUCGCGUGAAGGAUGAAGGAUCUAUGGUUUGUAAACUUCUUUUAUAUGGGAAUAAAGUGAGGAACGUGUUCCUUUUUGUAUGUACCAUAUGAAUAAGCAUCGGCUAACUCCGUGCCAGCAGCCGCGGUAAUACGGAGGCUGCGAGCGUUAUCAGGAUUUAUUGGGUUUAAAGAGUGCGUAGGUGGGUAAUUAAGUCAGCGGUGAAAGUUUGUGGCUAAACCAUAAAAUUGCAGUUGAAACUGGUUGACUUGAGUAUAUGUGAGGUAGGUGGAAUGCGUGGUGUAGCGGUGAAAUGCAUAGAGAUCACGUAGAACUCGGAUUGCGAAGGCGGCCUACUAGACUAUAACUGACGCUGAAGCACGAAAGCGUGGGGAUCAAACAGGAUUAGAUACCCGUGUAGUC
rnacentral:rRNA from 1 species